CCACGCUGGCUUUCUGGAAGGUAAGCUGAGGAAUAGCCGCCAAACGAAGGGAUGAUCGGUGCCGUUAUUGCAGAAGGGGUGGCUCAUCUGAAGUCACUGUUGGACUUGAAGAAGUUCCAGAAAGUGAUGAGUCUGUCCAAGAAUGGAUAACUGUGAUCAUAAGGAUGAAGCCUAGUCCGGAGAACCUUUCUUCCAUCAAGAUGGGUAAGGACAAAACCUACUUCCACCCAAGAUACUGGAUAUCUAAUCAGUCACCUACUCUGGCAGAGAUUGUUGAGAACUACCCUUGUUUCAUUGAUGUACCAUAUCUGGUAAGUCAGUCAAUGUAAUCACCACCUGCACUCUCAAAUGGAUUUGCAUAUAACCUUAUCUAAUCACCCUUGUCUUGUCCUGUUGGUAAACCUUAACAGAUCGACAGUUUGAGAAGAUGUUUCCAUACAAGACAGACAUCUUUCUACACAAAUGGGACCAAAGUUGUUGAAGCUGGCUGCUCUUGAAGGAAAAGAUGAACCACCAGAAGCUGAGAGUGCUGAAUGAAGGUGCUGUAGAGCACUGAAGAUGCUCACACAUGAUCUGCCCCCUACUGGGUCAAGAAGAUCUAUGGGAUGGACAAAAUGCAGCAUCAAGUCAGUGCUGUCCUACAUUAAACAACCAGGAAGAAGCUUCCAUGACCUCCUACAAACCACUGACCCUGCUCCAGUGAUGCAACCUGGUCUGGUGAGCAUUGGACAUUGCAACACAACAUCAACACAAUAUGUCCUCGUGGCUGCCCAUGUCAUUCCACUCCAGGAAGAGGGUCUCACCUGCAGUCUGGACUAACUCUUCAAAUUGUAUUGGGCUUGUAACCUUGCCUGCUUGGUAAAGUAGGAGUUGUUGAUUGAAAAAAUGGCAGCCUGUGGACAUAAGUUGAACAACUUAUUGGGGUGUUACCAUUUAGUGGUCAAUUGUAUGUAAUAUGUACUUCACUGUGCAAUCUACUAAUAAAGUUUCAAUCAAUGAUUGAAACAU